GAACAUUGUCAUAAAUUUGAAAUCUUUCCCAGAAACAAGCAGGCAUAAUUAAUUAUUUACAUAUAUAGCAGAAGAGAAAUAUAUACAAAGAGAAGGCCAGAAAAGAACAACAAUAAUGAAAGAGAAAUCAAGACUUGCCAUAUUUGUGCCAACAAAGAAGAAUCAACGCACAUCUCCUAGCAAUAUACAACUUUGAUCUUUGUUCAUUCACCAUGGCAAUCCACCCAUGCCUCCCUCUGCAAGCUCCACCAUCCCAAUCUAAUUUCCUGCUCUUAUUCCCAAUCCCUCCCCUGGACACGCAUUGACCCAUUUCAACGAACCCAGA
rnacentral:misc_RNA from 1 species